UGUGGGAACAAGUGGCUUCUGCAGCAAAUCAAGUGCCCAGCACCUCAGGGUGAUUCUGUGGUUCUUCACGUGUCCCGACUGAUGCAGCUGGCAACUCUUGUCAAGUGAUCAACAUUUGGUUCCUUGUGAAAAAUGGACCUUCACCCAAAGUCACCCGAGACACUGAUGGAAAUGGCAACAGAGACUGAUACGACAUUGUGAAGCAAUUAUACUCCAACAAAGAUGUGAAAAGGAAGUACACAGGCUUUAAAAACCAUAAAAUGAGGACAACAGCGAUACCAAUCUCAGAAGGUUUUUGUGAGAAUUAAGUAAAAUUGGCAACAAAAUAUGGAAACAGUCCCUGGCACAUAGUCAGAGAUUCAUGGACUGUUUUCCUUUUCUCAUGUUAUUGCUUCAGACAGGAUGGUCUCUGGUGAAGUAUUCCCAGCACUAUUCUCUAGGGCUUCCGGAAAAUCGAAAAGGAUAUGGAGCUGAUAGAAUCGUAAUGAAUAUUUCGCUCAAAACUUCAGUCCCUCAUUCAGAACACGUCACUGAGUGUCUCCAUUAUGCUCAAGCAGUCACCAAGCAAGAUGCAGCCCCUGCUGCGUGGGAGCUUAUUAAGAGCAGAAGGACUGAUUUUAUAGAUGGGACCAUUGCUUCACUGCUAACGGAUACUUAGAUACUUAACUAAGAUAGAAAUACAGAUUCCUAGAGAAGACUGUCAGAGCAGCCUCAUGUCUCUACACUUUACAAGACCUCUUUCCUAGACAUUUAUGUGCUGAAACUUAGCAUCCUGACGUCCAAGUGGAAAACACUGGUCCCACAUGCAGAUCACUCUGAAGCAAAGUCCGAGCAUUGUAUCACUUCAUCUGUGUUUCAGUAUGAACCGAAAAGGUAAGGAUGCUUCAAAUAUCCCUAUUUUUAAGCAUGCUCAAAGUUAGCAAUAGUCCCUUAACAUCAGCAAAUAUCCAGUCAGUGUUCAAAUUUCCAUGCUUGUGUUAAAAUUUGUAAUUAUUUAUUUUACAGUCUGUUUGAAACAGGCUUUUAAUAAGGGCUAUGGAUUGUAAUUUUGUUUGAUAUGCUUCUUAUAUUUCAUGGAACUUAUGAGAUUUGUUUCCUCCUCCAUCAAUUGUUUUGGGUAUUAUUUUUGUUAAGAAAAGUGCAUCGUUUGUUCUGAGCAGGGUUCCACGGUCUGCAACUUGCCGACUGGACCCCCACAGUGCUGUGUAACACACACCUCUGUCCCCUAUAUUUCCUGUAAAUACAGGAAAUUGGUAGUUAGAUCCAGAGGCUUCAUUUUAUUCAGGUUUUAUUUGUUGUUGUUGUUCUGUUUUUGUUCUUUUGUUUUUUUGCAAGGUGCUAUUGUGUACUUCUUUCACUCAAUGUCUGGCAGCAAUUGAAGUUCCUUCUUUAGAGGGGUAGAGUAGACUUUCCAACAGAAGUUUCUGUGGUGAUGGAAGUGUUCCAUAUCAGUACAUAUAUGUUCUGUAUCUGUACUAAAUGAGCCAUAUCUGUUCUAUAUCUUAAUACAGUAGUCACUAGCCACGUGUAGCUCUUAAAUGUGGCUAGUGUGAUUGAGAAACUGACUCUUUAAUUUAAAAAAUUUUAAUUACUGUAAAUUGAAAUGUAAAUAGCCACAUGUGUCUAGUAGCUACCAUAUUGGAUAGUAUAGCUGCAGACCCAUUAAUUCAUUAAGGGCUGCAAAAUGAUAAUGCUAUUAUUCUAUUAUCUUUUUCUUUACUUAUUAGUUGGAAUAUUUUUGUAAAGAGAUACUUCCUCUUAACAACUAUGUUGCUACUAUGAGGUUCAGUUUAUACAGAAAAGACAGAAAAAUUCCUUAAUUCUUACUCUCUAUUAUCAGCUGUCAAAAUAAUAAACUGUUUCCUUCGCAUUCUCCAAAAGUGAUGCAUCCUCAUCCUCAAGUGUUUUUUGUUGUUUUUAUGUAGUCAUAAUUUGCAUUUUAAUUUAUUGUAGUUGUUUAUGCUCAAAUUGGUUCAUCCUUGGCCAGAGGGGGUUUAUUCAAACUAUCUCCUGAGUGCUCUUGCUAUGAUCCUACGAGUCUCUGAUAGUGUUAUGGCUUUCUGGUGUGCGAUCAGGUAUUCCAGGAUCAUCUUGGACAUGUUACGCCUCAUAUCUGAAAUUAGCAAUUUUCUAAGAUGCUCUGGUUCCAUUUAGUGGUCAAUGGUAUUUCAAGAACAUAUAAUCUGGGUACUAUGGUGAUCAUUGCUAUUUGGUUGGUCAUUGUUUCUAGCCUUUACAAAAACAGAGUUAGAAAUCUAGAUUAAAAAAACCCCUGCAUUGUGAGUUCAUCCUGAUACAUGCAAUUUAAAAUCAGUGCUACAGCAUUGCCUCUGGGCUUUUUUUUUUUUUUUUUUUAAUACUGAAAAUCUAGUUUCUUCUCAAUGACACCAGUAUAACUACUGGUUUCUUUUAUUCCACAAUACACACAUAAUAAUUUCAGGAUAACAAUAGCAACCUACCAGCAAUGAAAUUAUUAUUGAAAAGGUGCACUCACCUUUGGUUUCAUUUUUUCAUGUUUAUAUAUUUAUUCCUAGAGUCUCCCUCCCUGAUGGUAUAUUAUUGUGUUUCAGGGUUAUUUGAAAUAGUUUCUCUGUGUAGUUUUGCCAAAAAAAGGAUGCAAAUUUCUAUUUGUUUGUUUCCUUUUCUUUUUAGUAAUUUUUAAAAAAACUGUAGUUUCAUUUUGUAAUUAGGUAGAGUAUUUAUGUGGCCCCAGAGUCAUAGCCACAAAACACAGUACAUUUUUAAAAAUCUAGCUUCUUACCCUAUCUCCUUAACUCUAUUCCCUUGUCAGUUUUUAUUUAAAAAAUUGUAAUUUAAGCCUUCAUUUUUUAUUUCAGGAAAGUGAAUAUAUUUAUAUCUACCCUUUCUUAGAUGAGCAGUAAUACACUACACACUUUCCUCCUUUUUUUGGUCUUACUUAAUAAUGUAUUCUGGAAAUCACUGACUAAUAAAAUGCAGAGAUCAACCUCAUUCCUUUUUGUAGCUGCAUAGUAUUCCAUGGAAUAGAUGUUCCAUAGUUAUUCAAUAAAUCCUCUAUUGAUGGACAUUUAGGUUGUGGAAAGCUUUUUAAGGACAUUUAAAAUUAUUACAGCAGGAGCAUAAACAAAUGCAUUACCUUUCCCAUAAUUUUUCAUUUUUCACUAGGUUCAUAUAGAUAUUCAUAAAGAUAAAAAGCAUGAAAUUAUAUUAAUAUCUAAGACAA